rnacentral:rRNA from 1 species
GAGGGGAGUGAAAUAGAACCUGAAACCCUGCACUUACAAGCUGUGGAAGCACAUUUCUUGUGUGACCGCGUACUUUUUGUAGAACGGGCCAACGAGUUACGUUAAGUAGCAAGGUUAAGCACUUAAGGUGCGGAGCCGUAGCGAAAGCGAGUUUUAACUGAGCGUUCAGUUACUUGACGUAGACCCGAAACCGGGCGACCUACCCAUGAGCAGGAUGAAGCGAAAGUAAAAUUUCGUGGAGGUCCGAACCCACGAGCGUUGAAAAGCUCGGGGAUGACUUGUGGGUAGCGGUGAAAUUCCAAUCGAGCCCGGAGAUAGCUGGUUCUCCCCGAAAUAGCUUUAGGGCUAGCCUCAAGGUGAGAGAUACGGAGGUAGAGCACUGAAUGUCCUAGGGGGUAUUGCACCUACCGAAGACUAUCAAACUCCGAAUGCCGUCAUCUUAUACUUGGGAGUCAGACUGUGGGUGAUAAGAUUCAUAGUCGAAAGGGCAACAGCCCAGAUCGUCAGCUAAGGUCCCUAAAUGUAAGUUAAGUGGUAAAGGAUGUGGGAUUGCACAGACAACCAGGAUGUUGGCUUAGAAGCAGCCACUCAUUCAAAGAGUGCGUAAUAGCUCACUGGUCGAGUGAUCCUGCGCCGAAGAUUUCCGGGGCUAAAACUUACUACCGAAGCUACGGCAUCAGUAAUGAUGGGUAGGGGAGCUUCCCAUACGGGUUGAAGCAUGACCGUAAGGACAUGUGGACAGUAUGGGAGUGAGAAUGUUGGCAUGAGUAGCGAGAUGUGGGUGAGAAUCCCACAGGCCGUAAACCCAAGGUUUCCAGGGGAAGGUUCGUCCGCCCUGGGUUAGUCGGGACCUAAGCUGAGGCCGAAAGGCGUAGG